rnacentral:SRP_RNA from 1 species
CCGAGCUCAUUGGCGGAAAGGAGCAGGCGCGGAAGGCAGCACAGGAGGCGCGCAAAUCAGCACGCUCGGGAAACGGCGAAGGC